rnacentral:lncRNA from 1 species
AAGCUUUCGUGCCCAGAUCUGGGUGGAGAAAGAAGUGAGAGAGGGGGUGAGUGGGGCACAGCAGGGGCCCUGGCAGCUCGCUCGCCACCUCCUGCACUUGGAGGUCCCACUGGCCUGCCUGUUCUGUCCCAGUUUCAGUCCAUUCUAGACGGGGCAGGUGGUCCUGAAGGAGGCCAAGUCCCCUCCCUGCCCUGACGAGGGCUCGCUGGAAAGAGCUGAGUCAGCUCCCGCCCCCUCCUCCAUGCUGCGGCAAAGUCAAACGCAAGCGCCUCCCACCCCAGAGACCUUUGGUCGCAGCCUGGAGAUCAGCUCAGACAAGAAAACAACCAGGGAAGGCACACAGGUAAGUGAAGGCCUCCGGGUACCCAAGUGCUGACAGGCCUUAGAAGACCAAGGACCGACAGGUCCUGCUCCCCCAGAGCUCAGGGGUGCAGACCCCAGGCCCGCCUCCCUCAGACCUAAGUAAGAGUCCAGACUCUAGCUGCCUCCUCCCUCAGACCCGAAGUCUGGGCCCCCAGCCCCUCCUCCCUCAGACCCUGGAGUCCAGGCCUCAGACCCUCCUCCCUUACAUCCAGGAGUACAGGCCCCACCCGGACUGUCCCCAUCACAGCUGAGGACUCAGCCCAAUUAUCUCCAUUACAGGAUAUCUCUAUCUUCAUCAGAGCCUAGGAAUGUCCCAUCAUGAGUUCAGGGCCAUUCUAUGACACCAGAACUGUGCCAUGAUGAGACGGUCCACAUCAGUCCCAAGUGGACCUGUCAAAGCCCAGUACUGCCCCACCACAGUCCAGGAGUGUCACCACUAAAGCCCAGAUUGCCCACAUACCCCAGGUAUCCCAGGACUAUCCCUAUCAGUCACUAAGAGCCGAAAAAAGUGAAAUUCUGCCCUGACAUUCAUCAGCUAGGAUAAGAGACUCAAAUAAAGUCAGGUGUAAAGUUAACAGACAGUUCUCCCAAGGUUACACCGCAGCUGUGAAGGCUUGUAAUGACCCCUUUCUUUGGCUGUUUCCUUCCUCACUGAGAAACCUUGUUCUCUGAAAUCAUAGACUCUGGGAAACGCUGCUGCUGUUUGACAUCGCACAGUCAGAAGGGAUCGUCUCAGCCAGCCUGCAGCAUCUGUCACUUUGACCAUGAGACGCUGCCUCGAUUUCCAAUCCAGGUGCAAAGCUUCAGAUAGGAGUUUGGGAAGCACAGCAAUCCCCAUCUCUUAUUUUUUUCAACUUUCAUUCCAAGAAAAUAGGACCUUGAGUCCAAUUCCCAGAGCUGAGACUUGAGGUCCAACUCUGCCUUCACCUGCACCCGGCCCUGGAGGUCUGGGCCCCUUUAUUCCAGCUCCCGCACAGGCUGAUGCCCCACCGCACCCCAGGGCUCCGCUCCCCAAAUCACAACCUCCCCACCCCCACGCCUCCCUCAUUACAGGGUCCUCCACCAUGUUUCCCUUUUUUUUUUUUUUUUUACCUCCCCGCCAAUUACUUGCCCCACCUCAUCCGCGUCUACCUGCUCCCCCUCACCCCAUUAAAGCCUCGUGCUCCUUUCCAAAGGGCGCCAUCCUCCUCCGCGCCCUGCAGCGGAACCCCAGGGCGGGAGGAGCGGCGCCGAGUCGGACCGGCUGCAGGCCAGUGGUCUUCCCGGAAGUGCGCCUCCCCCGGUUAUUUCCCAGACCCCGGCGCGGGGCUGCGAACCCACCUGCCCCAGAGCGGCUGCGGCCAUGAUCCGUGCGGCGCGUAACUGUGCCCGCCCGGGGCGCGGCUCCGAAGAGAGACGUUCCGGCCACGCCCCGCUCACGCCUCCUUCUGGGGGAAGGCGGCCGACCAGCGCCCCAGGCCGUCCCAGCUCCAGGGCGUCGGCAGGGAGCCGGACACUGCUGCGGGGCGCAGGCGCUGGUGGGAGGGCAGGACUUGAAAUACGGUCCCUGCCAGGCGAAGUGGCUCAGGUCUGUAAUCUUAGCACUUUGGGAGGCCGAAGCGGGCGGAUUACCUGAGGUCAGGAGUUAGAGACCAGCCUGGUCCAACAUGAUGAAACCCCGUCUCUACUAAAAAUACAAAAAAUUAGCCGGGCGUGGUGGCGGGCGCCUGUAAUCUUAGCUACUCGGAAAGCUGAGGCAGGAGAAUUGCUUGAAUCGGGGAGGCAGAGGUUGCAGUGAGCCGAGAUGAUGCCACUGCACUCCAGCCUGGGCGACAGAGUGAGACUCCGUCUCAAAAAAAAAAAAAAAAAAAAGUCCUGGCUUGGUGGCUCACACCUGUAAUCCCAGCACUUUGGGGGCCAAGGCGGGUGGAUCACCUGAGGCCAGGAGUUCAAGACCAGCCUGGCCGACAUGGGGAAACCCCGUCUCUACUAAAAAUACAAAAAUUAAGGCCAGGCACGGUGGCUUACGCCUGUAAUCCCAGCACUUUGGGAGGCCGAGGUGGGCGGAUCACAAGGUCAGGAGUUCAAGACCCGCCUGACCAACAUGGUGAAACCCCGUCUCUACUAAAGAUACAAAAAUUAGCCGGGUGUGGUGGUGUGCGCCUGUAAUCCCAGCUACUAGGGAGGCUGAGGCAGGAGAAUCAUUUGAACCCUGGAGGCGGACGUUGCGGUGAGCCGAGAUCGCGCCACUGCAUUUCCAGCCUGGGUGACAGGGUGAGACUCCGUCUCAAAAUAAAUAAAUAAAUAAAAAUAAAUACAUAAAAAUACAAAAAUUAGUCGAGCGUGGUGCCGGGGGCCUGUAAUCCCAGCUAUUCGGGAGGCUGAGGCAGGAGAAUCGCUUGAACCCGGGAGGCGGAGGUUGCAGUGAGCCGACAUUGCACCACAGCACUCCAGCCUGGGCGACAGAGUGAGACUCCGUCUCAAAUUAAAAAAAAAAAAAAAAAAUCGUAUCCCUCGGCCAUCGUGUCUCGGCAAUCCUACCCUGGGACACUCUGUCUCCAAAUUCUACCCCCACAGUGCCCCCAAGUCCUGUCCCCGGGUCACUAUCCUGCCACCCCUAACAGCCACAGGCCCAAACAGCCAAACCGCGGGACCCUUCCCUCACAGGGCGUCGCCCUGUUUUUCUGCGCUCCGCCCCAGUCCUCCUGCCCCACCCGCCAGCCCCGGGCUGUAGGGUCGGGGCCCACUGACAGCUCCCGCCCCCGCCGCGGCCAAUCAGCGGUUGGUGCACACGCCCCCCCGGCCACAGCCAAUCCGCAGCAGCCCUGCAGCUCCACCCCUCACCUGGGGGACGCCAGCGCACCCGGGCCCUGCCCCCCCCCUGGGUCCAGC